GUGUGCUUCUUGGAGUUGUUCUC
rnacentral:siRNA from 1 species